rnacentral:rRNA from 1 species
AGUUUGAUCCUGGCUCAGGACGAACGCUGGCGGCGUGCCUAAUACAUGCAAGUCGAGCGAGCUUGCCUAGAUGAUUUUAGUGCUUGCACUAAAUGAAACUAGAUACAAGCGAGCGGCGGACGGGUGAGUAACACGUGGGUAACCUGCCCAAGAGACUGGGAUAACACCUGGAAACAGAUGCUAAUACCGGAUAACAACAUUAGACGCAUGUCUAGAGUUUGAAAGAUGGUUCUGCUAUCACUCUUGGAUGGACCUGCGGUGCAUUAGCUAGUUGGUAAGGUAACGGCUUACCAAGGCAAUGAUGCAUAGCCGAGUUGAGAGACUGAUCGGCCACAUUGGGACUGAGACACGGCCCAAACUCCUACGGGAGGCAGCAGUAGGGAAUCUUCCACAAUGGACGAAAGUCUGAUGGAGCAACGCCGCGUGAGUGAAGAAGGGUUUCGGCUCGUAAAGCUCUGUUGGUAGUGAAGAAAGAUAGAGGUAGUAACUGGCCUUUAUUUGACGGUAAUUACUUAGAAAGUCACGGCUAACUACGUGCCAGCAGCCGCGGUAAUACGUAGGUGGCAAGCGUUGUCCGGAUUUAUUGGGCGUAAAGCGAGUGCAGGCGGUUCAAUAAGUCUGAUGUGAAAGCCUUCGGCUCAACCGGAGAAUUGCAUCAGAAACUGUUGAACUUGAGUGCAGAAGAGGAGAGUGGAACUCCAUGUGUAGCGGUGAAAUGCGUAGA